UACAGAGGCCUCAAGCGUUGUUCGGAUUCAUUGGGCGUAAAGGGUGCGUAGGCGGCGCGCUAAGUCAGGUGUGAAAUUUCGGAGCUUAACUCCGAAACUGCAUUUGAUACUGGCGUGCUUGAGGACUGGAGAGGAGACUGGAAUUCAUGGUGUAGCAGUGAAAUGCGUAGAGAUCAUGAGGAAGACCAGUGGCGAAGGCGGGUCUCUGGACAGUUCCUGACACUGAGGCACGAAGGCCAGGGGAGCAAACGGG
rnacentral:rRNA from 1 species